rnacentral:rRNA from 1 species
AGCAGCCGCGGUAAUUCCAGCUCCAAUAGCGUAUAUUAAAGUUGUUGCAGUUAAAAAGCUCGUAGUUGAAUUUCGGGAUCAAGGAAUCGGUCAUGCCUCGGUAUGUACUGGUUCUAUUGGUUCUCACCUUCUAAAGAACCAUAAUGUCAUUCAUUUGAUGUUAUGGGGAAUUAGGACUGUUACCUUGAAAAAAUUAGAGUGUUUAAAGCAGGCUUACGCUUGAAUACAUUAGCAUGGAAUGACGGAAUAGGACGUUUGAUUCUAUUUUGUUGGUUUCUAGGAUCGACGUAAUGAUUAAUAGGGAUAGUUGGGGGCAUUAGUAUUCAAUUGUCAGAGGUGAAAUUCUUGGAUUUAUUGAAGACUAACUACUGCGAAAGCAUUUGCCAAGGAUGUUUUCAUUAAUCAAGAACGAAAGUUAGGGGAUCGAAGACGAUCAGAUACCGUCGUGGUCUUAACCAUAAACUAUGCCGACUAGGGAUCGGAUGAUGUUAAUUUUUUAAUGACUCA